UACGAAGGGUGCAAGCGUUAAUCGGAAUUACUGGGCGUAAAGCGUGCGCAGGCGGUUUUGUAAGUCAGAUGUGAAAUCCCCGGGCUUAACCUGGGAACUGCGUUUGAAACUACAAGGCUAGAGUGUGACAGAGGGGGGUGGAAUUCCACGUGUAGCAGAGAAAUGCGUAGAGAUGUGGAGGAACACCGAUGGCGAAGGCAGCCCCCUGGGUUAACACUGACGCUCAGGCACGAAAGCGUGGGGAGCAAACAGG
rnacentral:rRNA from 1 species